rnacentral:antisense_RNA from 1 species
GGAGGUGGCUUAUGGCGAUUUCCCGGUUGUACCAGUUUUAUCGGGGUUAUCUUUCGGCGUGCCAGGCGAAAUGGUUGCGUUGGAUGUCCGCUCAGCAGCGGUUGGCAUUAUUGCAGCAGGCGACGCAGUGGCACUUAGAGGAGAUGUCGGAAGAGGAAUACCGUCACUGGAUCUAGCCGUGAGAAAUUAGAGAAAACUUCUGAGUAAUGGUGCUUUUCACCAGCCAGCGGAUAUUUCGCUGGCUUUUUUU